GCAAGUCGAGCGAACUGAUUAGAAGCUUGCUUCUAUGACGUUAGCGGCGGACGGGUGAGUAACACGUGGGCAACCUGCCUGUAAGACUGGGAUAACUUCGGGAAACCGAAGCUAAUACCGGAUAGGAUCUUCUCCUUCAUGGGAGAUGAUUGAAAGAUGGUUUCGGCUAUCACUUACAGAUGGGCCCGCGGUGCAUUAGCUAGUUGGUGAGGUAACGGCUCACCAAGGCAACGAUGCAUAGCCGACCUGAGAGGGUGAUCGGCCACACUGGGACUGAGACACGGCCCAGACUCCUACGGGAGGCAGCAGUAGGGAAUCUUCCGCAAUGGACGAAAGUCUGACGGAGCAACGCCGCGUGAGUGAUGAAGGCUUUCGGGUCGUAAAACUCUGUUGUUAGGGAAGAACAAGUACGAGAGUAACUGCUCGUACCUUGACGGUACCUAACCAGAAAGCCACGGCUAACUACGUGCCAGCAGCCGCGGUAAUACGUAGGUGGCAAGCGUUAUCCGGAAUUAUUGGGCGUAAAGCGCGCGCAGGCGGUUUCUUAAGUCUGAUGUGAAAGCCCACGGCUCAACCGUGGAGGGUCAUUGGAAACUGGGGAACUUGAGUGCAGAAGAGAAAAGCGGAAUUCCACGUGUAGC
rnacentral:rRNA from 2 species